rnacentral:rRNA from 1 species
CCGGCGCACGGGUGAGUAACGCGUAUGCAACUUACCUAUCAGGAGGGGGACUAACCCGGCGAAAGUCGGACUAAUACCGCAUGAAGCAGGGGCCCCGCAUGGGGAUAUUUGCUAAAGAUUCAUCGCUGAUAGAUAGGCAUGCGUUCCAUUAGGCAGUUGGCGGGGUAACGGCCCACCAAACCGACGAUGGAUAGGGGUUCUGAGAGGAAGGUCCCCCACAUUGGUACUGAGACACGGACCAAACUCCUACGGGAGGCAGCAG